AGCAGCAUCAGCUAAUAAAGCUUUCGGGCCCAUACCCCGAACAUGUUGGUUAAAAUCCUUCUCCUGCUA
rnacentral:tRNA from 1 species